CCGUUUCAAUUUGCUGCGGGCUGAUAAAAUGAAUAUGCGCAUCAAUCCCGCCUGCUGUUACAAUCAUCCCUUCCGCGGCAAUCACUUCAGUUGACGCACCGAUUGUGAUAUCGACACCUUCCAUUAAGAGCGGAUUGCCCGCCUUUCCGAUUGCUGAAAUAAAUCCGUCUUUUAUCCCGAUAUCCGCUUUAUAGAUGCCUGUAUAAUCCAAAAUAAUGGCAUUCGUUAAAACAAGGUCCGGGCUGGUAUCGCUUGAAGCAUGCGGAUGCUGACCCAUCCCGUCACGG
rfam:Bacillus coagulans 36D1, complete genome.